GACGCUUUGUGAAUACAGGCCCAAACAUAGACAUACUUAAUUUGUGGUCAUGUUCUGGAGGGCCUAACCUUUCUUUGUUACCACAAACGUGGAACAUGAAGUAGGUUACUAUGCACAUAGGUAGAUAGGUAUGUAGACAAUGUUAUUUUAAGAAAAAUUAUUUUUCAUGUGACGACCCAUUUGACUCCGACGCAGAGGAAGUGAGAACCUGCUGAUCGAAACAAUCAGUGGAAAUUCUUGCAGACACCGCAGGGGUUCAAACUGUAGAACCCAGUUCCUACAUUUGAAUAUAAAAAUGUAUUUUAUCAAACAAAACUAUGCUUCAGUUUAUCUCUGGGACCCAUAGGAUGACAAAUCAGAGCAAGAUUACUGAAUAUGACGAGGAGAACCGUUACAGAACUACCCACCACCAAAGGACCAAGCAGCGUGGUGAGGAGCAACAGAGCUAUCUGGAGAAAUGGACAUGGGAGGAGAUACUGGAAGGCAAGGGACCCUGGGCACAGGCUGGGGUCCAUCCAGGCGCCGCCAGAGCCCCCCGCCUGUCCGGCGCCGCCAGAGCCCCCCUCCUGUCCGGCGCCGCCUGAGCCCCCCUCCUGUCCGGCGCCGCCUGGGCCCCCCUUCACUCCGGAGCCGCCAGAGCCUCAGUCCAGAGGCGCCCUCUACGAGGGUCUUCAGUCCGGGGCCCCCUGCGAGGGUCCCCGCUCCAGAGGCGCCACCUAAGUGGGCCAAAACUGAGGUGGAGCGGGGUACUGUCACGCCCUGGCCAUAGAGAAGCUUUUUAUUCUCUAUUUUGGUUAGGCCAGGGUGUGACUAGGGUGGGCAUUCUAUGUUCAUUUUCUAUGUUUUUGAUUUCUGUGUUUGGCCGGGUGUGGUUCUCAAUCAGGGACAGCUGUCUAUCGUUGUCUCUGAUUGAGAACCAUACUUAGGUAGCUCUUGCCCACAUGGGUUUUGUGGGUAGUUAUUUUCUGUUUAGUGUGUUCUGUCCACAACUCCUCCCUCAUAGGUGACGCAUUACAAUGAUUCAUUGCUGUUUCCUGCCUGUAGCUCACUAGUCCCUAUGAGGUGCUUAGGUUAUGUGCUCUAGAGGCAAUUGGUUUAAUUCCUGGAAAUUAGAUUAAAUUAAGAAUUGCCUCUGUCUGUUACCACAGAAGGGGUGAUUUUUUUUUUUUCUUCCAGAGCUUCUUCCAGCUGGAUUGUAAAGGUGCUAUGGCACUGGUACCUGUGGCGGGUGUGAUAACCUUCAUUAUAGCGGGUUUUUUGUCCCCCUGGGUCUAUUUUUUUUAAUGUGUGGUUCAGUGCUGGGUGCAAGCUGGUUACCAGUGCGCAUCUUACCGCCUGUUGUGACAGAAGUGGCACUGCCAAUCGGGGUACCAUUUGUUACAGGAGCCCCCAAACCCAGAGUAGAAUGAGCUAUCAUGCAAACCUUAGCACAUAAACAGUUGUGUCGAAACAAGGUGUCAACCCAAGCAAUUUGAUAAAAUUGACAUAAUAAAUGAAAUGGCAUUCAUUUUAAAUUGCAUUGGUUUUCCAUAAAUGGCUACUGCGUUGGACCUGAAACCGUUCCUGAGAGUAUUCCUUGGGCCAAAUUAUACCCAAGACGGUAUAUCUUCACACAUACUGUAAGCCUAAGGCAGUGUUUCCAACAGUCCUCCAGGACCGCCAACAGCACACAAUUUUGUUGUAGCCCUGGACAGUUUUGAUGUUAGUUGACAAGUGUAAUCAGGUUUUCUUGUCUGCCUUAGGCCUACAGUAUGUGUGAAGAUAUACCGUCUUGGGCAUAAUUUAAAAGAAGGGAAGUGUGGUUUAGAUGCACAAGGUGUGUCUCUCUCCAGAAUGCACUCUCUCCUGCCAAUUUGUGUGUAUUAAUUUCAUAACUUCAUUGUGUAAAUUGUUUGCCCUCUGAUAGUUAGCAUCUAUCAAUUCCCCAUUACAUACAAUAUAUCACCAGUAGUACAUUUACCAUUAAUCCCAAUAAUUUGUUUAGUUACGGUCAUUUCUGAUAAUGCAUUCAAUAUAUUCUUAUUACAGUCAUUACAGAGUGAACACGUUGUUUUCAGAGCUCACAACCUUUGCUACACUUGUGAGAAACAAGUUAUGUGUUUCUGUGCCUGAUAAGCAGGAUUUUCAACUUGCAGUUUUUUGUCAAUGAUAUGUCUGUACUAUGUCUCUCUCCGUCAGAACACAGCGCAAAAAAAACUUCCACACAUCCUGUUCUUCUGACGAGAUAGAAAGUCUGCUAACCCGACCGUUUUGAGGCUUCUGACUGUCACAUGACCCAGUUAAAUGAGUAGAAACUGGUUACUAAUACACAGUGUUGUCUAAACAAGGAAAUUAUGACGAUUUGUCAUGAUGUGUGUUUUUUUUUUUUGUCUCACUACCUCAAUCCACAGCCAAACACAUCUGAAACAGAGAACUGGUACAGGAAGCGACAAACUGCCACAUAAAGUUAGAUUCUCUCCCGCCAAAACCUUCUCAUGGUAACACUUGACCUAAACUAAAGCAUCCUGGUGUAAUGCUUUAUAAGUUGUUAUUAGCAUGUAGGAGACUUUAUGAUGUCUUAUAAAAAAGGCUUGUAAUAUGUUCUAUCUUUCUAUGCAUUAACUGUUAAACUAUCUGGCUGUUAUUUGGUUCAGAUGCAUAAUGCAUAAUUUACCCAAAUGCUUGAAGUAAAAAGUGACCUUUUCAGUAAAAUGUGUGAAGCUUCUUCAACAAAACGGGUCUUUAAUAAACCUUAGAAUGUUCUAUGUAAAUUAUCAGUGUUUUGAAGGAUUGAAGCAGUAAUUGUUGUGUGUAUGUGAAUGUAUGUGUUUUUAUUGAAUUUAUAUUCAGUAAUAUCCUAAUUUAGCAAACAAAUACAUUCAUUACAUUGGAAAUCUUUAUUAUUAUUAUUAUUUUUACAUAUAUACAGUGCAACAAGAACAUGUUUACAUUGUCAUUCCUUCACAUAUUAAUUCUCCAACAUGUUAUAAUGUUUUUCAGCUUACAUGCAUCAUGGCGUGGUGUCAGAGUAAAAACAUAUCCUAUUCUAAACUUGUAUUGGUUUUAAAAGACACACUUAGUAGAUAAUCCUAUCUAAUGUCUCAUCAAAUAACUCCACUGAUCAACUGCAGAUACCUGCUCAUGCAGUUGCUGCUCUGGCUGUUAACAUGCUACAUAAUAU